CAAUUUGUCCAAACUCACUCAAACAUACAAUUCUUCACUUAUUAAAUUUUGGAAAAUUACAAAAAUUCAAGCAAUUUGGGAGAGAGAUGGCUCGGUUAUGGAGAAGGAAAAAGAAGAAGACUUUUCAUCAAAUGUCAACAAAAAAUCCUUGGUGCCCAAGAAUGAAUAGGGAGUAAACUUCACACUUCUUUUUCUCCUCAAACUCACGGCAAGAAGAAAG
rnacentral:lncRNA from 1 species